rnacentral:rRNA from 1 species
UGGGGAAUCUUGGACAAUGGGGGAAACCCUGAUCCGGCCAUGCCGCGUGAGUGAAGAAGGCCUUAGGGUUGUAAAGCUCUUUUGGCGGGGAGGAUAAUGACCGUACCCGCAGAAUAAGCCCCGGCUAACUCCGUGCCAGCAGCCGCGGUAAGACGGAGGGGGCUAGCGUUGUUCGGAAUUACUGGGCGUAAAGGGCGCGUAGGCGGCAAUAUAAGUCGGUGGUGAAAUCCCGGGGCUCAACCUCGGAACUGCCUUCGAUACUGUAUUGCUUGAGGCCGAAAGAGGAUGACGGAAUUCCGCGUGUAGCAGUGAAAUGCGUAGAUAUGCGGAGGAACACCGAAGGCGAAAGCAGUCAUCCAGGUCGGAACUGACGCUGAGGCGCGAAAGCGUGGGGAUCAAACAGG